CAAUAGCGUAUAUUAAAGUUGUUGCGGUUAAAAAGCUCGUAGUUGGAUUUCUGCCGAGGACGACCGGUCCGCCCUCCGGGUGAGUAUCUGGUUUGGCCUGGGCAUCUUCUUGGAGAACGUAGCUGCACUUGACUGUGUGGUGCGGUGUCCAGGACUUUUACUUUGAGGAAAUUAGAGUGUUUCAAGCAGGCACACGCCUUGAAUACAUUAGCAUGGAAUAAUAAGAUAGGACCUCGGUUCUAUUUUGUUGGUUUCUAGAGCUGAGGUAAUGAUUAAUAGGGAUAGUUGGGGGCAUUCGUAUUUAACUGUCAGAUGUGAAAUUCUUGGAUUUGUUAAAGACGGACUACUGCGAAAGCAUUUGCCAAGGAUGUUUUCAUUGA
rnacentral:rRNA from 1 species